CCUACGGGCGGCAGCAGUGGGGGAUAUUGCACAAUGGGGGGAACCCUGAUGCAGCGACGCCGCGUGGGUGAAGAAGCGCCUCGGCGCGUAAAGCCCUGUCAGCAGGGAAGAAAAUGACGGUAACUGAAGAAGAAGCCCCGGCUACCUACGUGCCAGCAGCCGCGGUACUACGUAGGGGGCAAGCGUUGUCCGGAUUUACUGGGUGUAAAGGGGGAGCAGCCGGCGAUGCAAGCCAGGAGUGAAAGCCCGUGGCCCAACACCGGGACUGCCCUUGGAACUGCGUGGCUGGAGUGCAGGAGGGGAAGGCGGAAUUACUGGUGUAGCGGUGAAAUGCGGAGAUAUCAGGAGGAACACCGGUGGCGAAGGCGGCCUGCUGGACUGCAACUGACGUUGAGGCCCGAAAGCGUGGGGAGCAAACAGGAUUAGAUACCCGAGUAGUC
rnacentral:rRNA from 1 species